rnacentral:lncRNA from 1 species
UCUCCCCUUCCUUCUACUUCUUUCCAUUCCUCACUCUCUCCAUUUAUCCCUCUUUCUCGACAUCCCUUCUCUCUCUUUCUAACCCCUCUGUCUUUACCUCUCUCUAUUUCUCUUUCUAUCCUUCUCUAUUUAUAUCUCCAUCCCUCACUUUUUUCUGUCUGUCCCUCUCUCUAUCCCUCUACCUCACUCUCUCCAUCCCCUCUCUCUACCUUCCUCUCUCUUCCCUCCAUCUGUUCCUCUCUAUUUAUAUCCCUCUUUCUAUCCCUUUCUCUGCCCCUUUAUCUAUCCCUGUCUCUCUGUACAUCCUUCUUUCAAUCCCCUCUCUCCAUACCUCUCUCUGUCUCUUCUUAUCUCUCUCUCUUUCGGUCCACUCUUAUAUCCCUCUCUCUAACCCUCUCUCACUCUCUUGUUCACUCUCCAUCCUUCCCUCUCUCUGUCUCUCUGCCUCUCUCCAUACCUGUAUUUCUCCCACUCUAUCUAUCCCUCUUUCUCCGUCCAUCCUUCUUUCAAUUCCCCGUCUCCCUCUAUGCCUCUCUCUAUCCCCCUCUCUCUCUGUCCCUCUAUCUAUCCCUCUCUCCAUACCUCUCUCUCUCCAUCUCUCCCUUUUCCUCUCCCUCUACGUCUCUCCAUCCCUUCUCUCUCUUUCUAUCCCCCCCUCUCUCUAUCCCUCUCCAUCCCUCCAUCUCUCUCCUAUUCCUGUCUAUCCAUCUCUCUCUCUCUCUUUAUCUUUUUUUCUCUCUCUUGGUGUGUUUAGUCUGAUUGCAGGUUUACAGCUGAGUUUUACCCGCCGUAACUCUCCAUUCACACCUCCACUAAAUGCUUAAUUACUAACGCUAAUGACUUAAUGGAGUUAGGGAGAGAUUAACGAGCUUAGUGUAUACACACACAAACACACACAAACACACACAAACACACACAGAAUGCACUGCACACUGCUAUAAUGACCGAACAUUUGUUUUGGUUACCUGUGCAUAACUCUCGCAACACACAUUUAAUACCUGACGAGAAGCAUCGUGUCUUUUUAAUCUCGU